GAUGAACGCUGACAGAAUGCUUAACACAUGCAAGUCAACUUGAAUUUGGGUUUUUUAACUUAGAUUUGGGUGGGGGACGGGGGAGGAAGGCGUAAAGAACUUGCCCCACAGCUAGGGAAAACAUUGGGAAAGGAAUGCUAAUACCUGAAAUUAUGAUUAUAAGGCAUCUUGGAAUUAUGAAAGUUUCUGCGGUGGUGGAGGGCUUUGCGGCCCAUUAGCUUGUUGGGGAGGUAACGGCUCACCAAGGCGAUGAUGGGUAGCCGGCCUGAGAGGGUGAACGGCCACAAGGGGACUGAGACACGGCCCUUACUCCUACGGGAGGCAGCAGUGGGGAAUAUUGGACAAUGGACCAAGAGUCUGAUCCAGCAAUUCUGUGUGCACGAUGACGUUUUUCGGAAUGUAAAGUGCUUUCAGUUGGGAAGAAAAAAAUGACGGUACCAACAGAAGAAGUGACGGCUAAAUACGUG
rnacentral:rRNA from 1 species